AGUGAACGCUGGCGGUAGGCCUAACACAUGCAAGUCGAACGGCAGCACAGUAAGAGCUUGCUCUUACGGGUGGCGAGUGGCGUACGGGUGAGGAAUACAUCGGAAUCUACUUUUUCGUGGGGGAUAACGUAGGGAAACUUACGCUAAUACCGCAUACGACCUACGGUUGAAAGCAGGGGAUCUUCGGACCUUGCGCGAUUGAUUGAGCCGAUGUCGGAUUAGCUAGUUGGCGGGGUAAAGGCCCACCAAGGCGACGAUCCGUAGCUGGUCUGAGAGGAUGAUCAGCCCCACUGGAACUGAACCACGGUCCAGACUCCUACGGGAGGCAGCAGUGGGGAAUAUUGGACAAUGGGCGCAAGCCUGAUCCAGCCAUACCGCGUGGGUGAAGAAGGCCUUCGGGUUGUAAAGCCCUUUUGUUGGGAAAGAAAAGCAGCAGGUUAAUACCCCGCUGUUCUGACGGUACCCAAAGAAUAAGCACCGGCUAACUUCGUG
rnacentral:rRNA from 1 species